AAACAUUUUAUUCAUUAGCCCAAGUUAAAACUAGCCCAAAUCAAGAAAUCCUAAGUUAAAACCUAAGUCUUUCUUCUUCCUCCCUCAUUCAACAAAAUGCACCGCCUCUCUCCUUCUCCUAUCCCUCUCUCUCUUCUCUUCUCUCUACACCGUCGCGCCGCCAUCAUUUCCAGAUCUCCCUCUCGUUCAGGUCAGUCGCCGCCGCGGAGGCCGUUGUCACCUCGCGCAGCCCCAGCCACCGUCGUCGAUUCCCGUCAGAUUCUAAAGAACGAAAUUAGUGACGAAUUGUUGGGGCGUGGGCUGUCACCGUCGGCGACGGAGUGCUGAGCUCGCUGCCGGAACCCGGCAGAUUCAUGGAGAUAAGCUUUUCUCCUUCUUUCUAGUUGUUAAGGCUGUAGGAUUCUAUAUUAUUUCUAUUUACUAAAUUUGGUGAAUUUUGAGUAUAUGCCUUGCUAUGUGGGAGAUUUGGGUGACUCAUAUUAAACUUACUGUAUUGGGGUUGUGAAUUCUAAAUCUGGGCAGAUCCUAUUUCCAAAUACAUAUAUGUAUGCUUGUACAUAUAUAAAUAAAAGGAGAUGUUUGUUGUUUACCUUUUGAAGUGGAAGGUAAAGUGUUGGUUUGUAGUAUUUGAACCCAAGUGCCAUCUCCCUCCUCGGACUCCUCUUUUGUGGGGUUAUGUGAGCAGAGAAAUUUGGAUGUUUGAUUGAUUGUAUAUACAUACAUACAUAUACAUCUUGAAACUUAUCUUCCAAGAUAUUCCGUCAGAGGAUAUGGUCUCCUUCCGCCAUGCAAUUAAUGCAGCAUUAAAUGCUGUCGGCCCUUUUUUUUAAUUUUAUUUUAUUUAUUUAUUAAAAUAAUUAUUAUUUGUAUUUAAUUUGGUGCAGGUAUAAUCGGUUCAAGCUCGUGGCUGUCCGCGUUGAAGUACCCGAUUUUUCUUAGAACGUAGGAUGUAAUAAAUUAAAUUUUCGUUGGACAUUUGUUGGAUGUAUCGAACAUUAAAACUUAAAUUUUUGGGAUCUUGUUUAUUUACUUAAAUUUAUUAUAA